GGAGGUUCUGGACCGAAGUCCG
rnacentral:snRNA from 1 species